ensembl:lncRNA
AAAUGUUUAGGCACAAAUUGAGUUUAGUGUAAUGUAUAUUGUUUAUAUAAAUCUUUAAUUGUAAUGUGAUUACAGUAUAAGGUCUUAAAAUGUUACCUACUCUCAUUUGAGGGGUUUUUUUUUUUCUCAGAUACGGAACUGACACAAACUCCACAAACAGAAGCAGGUGUGUCCUUAAAAAAUCUAUUUCAGUAUAAUUCAUAAAUAAACUAUUAAUCAUUCAACUUUUUAUUUCACUUUGUUCUUUAAAGACUUAUAUUUUAUUAUUCUGACAAUGAACCAAUAUUGUUUUUUCUUUUCUUUAAUUUGUUUAAAAUGUUUUGGAACCAAAACAAAAGGAACCUGGGAAACAACAGCAGGUGGAGUUUUAAUGUUGAAAUUGAUUUUACUUCAUGAUUAAU